rnacentral:tRNA from 1 species
GGGGAUGUAGCUCAAUGGUGAAGGGCUUGCCUAGAAUGUGCAAGGCCCUGGGUUCAAUCCCCAGCAACAUUA